AAUCAGUUCACUGCCUGGUGCUUGUGCAAGAUGUGGAAGUCUCAGCUACCUCUCCAGCACCAUGUUGGCCUGCUCAUCUCCAGUCCCUCCACAAUGACCGAAUCUCUGAACUGUCUGCACUUGGCAGCCAUGCCAACAGACACCCAAGGAUAGAAUGAAGACUGGGGCUUUGUGCCUUUGAUCCAUCAAAUGUGCUCUUGAAGAUUGGCUUGUCUCUGGGAAAGAGUACAGGAGCCCAGAGCCCAAAUGGCAUAGGCUCAGGAGGGCAAGGGAUCCCGGGGAAGAGCCUAAGAAGAUGGAAGCCUAAGAAGGUUGCUAACUCAUCUGAGAAAUGGGCUUCAUCAAAGAGGGUUCCUGGGAAUUGUAACCUGCCUUUGGGGAAAGGCUGGCCCGGUAACUGCGGCGGUGUUGGAUCAACAGACGCUAAACGUUUAUUUACAAGGAAGGUGCCCUAUCUGUGAUUACCGGGCACUGCUUCUUCAUAGCCGUGCCGUGUCCAUGCCCAAUGCUCCCUUCUCAGGGAGAGGAUACAUUUCAACAUAAUUAAAAGUUGAGAACUGUUUCCUGGACUUCCAGUAUAUCCAGUUACCACAUGGCUUUGUUUCAGCAAAUCCAAUGGUUAUCAGAAAUUUAUAGGGGGGGAGACGAUUAGCAGAAUAGGAUUUUAAUGUGGCAUGUAUGAAGUAUCAUACAUGUUAAUUGCUCAUAAAAUUUUCUCAUAAAUAAAAUUUUGAGACAUGAUAAUGACAGAAGAAGUAAAGAUGCCCGUCUCAAAGAAAGCACACUAAAGUCAACAUACUCUUCGUCUUAUAAGAGACAUGAGAGCAUAAUCAAUUUUAUUGAUUUACAGCAGAGCGGAGAGCCUUGUCAUGUAAAAUUUAAUAGGUCGCUUGGACAUUAAAUUUUAAACUCAGAAUCAUCAUCAAUCUUUUAUUUAGAUCUGAUAAGCUACUGAGGUUACACCCUGGGUGGAAUCCUAAUACAGCUCUCCCCCAUGGUUCACCUUCUGGAUAUCAUGUCCUCACAAACCUAGAAAUACAUGAAUUACUUCUUACAAUGGUAAUAACUAAAAUUUUUAACAGCACUGGAAUAAGGCUGUGUUACUUCGACUCACAAUGUAUGCUACCUUCCCCUCAGCGUUACUAACUCCACUAGCUAAGACGUUAAUUUUCAUAAGUGGAAUUGAAAAUGCUGUUCUUUUAAUUUUCCGAGUUGAAUUCUGGGUCAUGUAAAGUGAAGUGACUCAAAACCCAAAUCCUGUAAUUACAGAAUGGCCGUUUAGAUGAAAUAAGUCUCCCCUUUCCCUCUGCUAGGUUGGAAGGCAGCUUCCUGAACUGCAAAUUAGGAAAGCCUGGCAGCUUGUCUGGGGUGAAGCCAGUUUGUGUACGCAUGAACACACCGAGGUCGUAAAGACACCGGCUACUUAGGGGCCAUUUGCUUUGUUUAAUCUGAGAUUAGGCCUAGGUUUACAAGGGAAACCUAAAUUUAGAGUUGACAGGGUUCUUUAAGGUGGCAUUACUGACUGCAAUUUCUUCCGGUAGCUUUUCUGAGUGGUCUGUGACUCGGGAAAAAGAGUAGCCAUUUUAAACUCUGGGGAGGGGACGGAGAUAAAAGUUAUGGAGGAAAAUAGAAUUAUCUGCAAAGUAGCCGGUUGAUUUAUUGCAUUUCCAAAUGCAGCGUG